CUGAUUCGAGUUUUAUGGGCGGGUAACACAUGUCACCCCAUCCUUUUCCAUGUCUUCUUCCCUUAUUCGCCAUAGUACACUUUUUUACAGAGGUAUAAGAGGGAGGGGUUUACAUCGGAGAGAGAAAGGGGAGGAUCGACGGCGUUGCCGCCAUAUCUCCGUCUUGUACCGCCGUGAUGGCCACCUCCCCACCUUUUCUCAGUUUACACCUCCCCCUCUCUCUCACACACCUAAACAGUGACGCAAAUGACUUUCGCCGGGCCAUCGUAGCUCAAUCACAAUGCCGGUUACUGUCGUGGGAAUCAGAAUUGGUUUCCGGUAACAUAUAGGAUGGCUGGUACGAUGAUGAUGUUUGCCUCUCUGGCUGGUGGCGAUUGUGAUUGCAGAACAUCAUUCAAUUAAUCAGAGGCUAUGAUGAUCUUGGUCAGAUCAUUACUUGGCGUGGCAUCAUCGAGGAUGGCAGGUGCAUUGUUCUCCGCUUGCAACCGAUGGUGCAGCCAUGAUAGCUUAAUAGCUUGGUCUGAGCCUCAUCAUGUUGGUUUCAAGGUGAUUAACCUAUAUUGUAGUCGAUUUUACGGCUGAACAUCGUGCUUUUCAGUUCAUGUUUGGCAAUUUUUCAUGUCACUGAUCGGUAUGGGAACAAGCUAUCCAGGGAAAAUGUUGUUGAUCCUAUCCAACAGUCAUUUGGACCUAGAGGUUGCAGUUACAGAUCAUUAAGAUUAAGGGGUUCAGUUGGGGUCAAAUCAGCUAUGGAACACACAAACUAUCGAGUUAACCGGGCCCCGACGUGAUUUACUAUCCGAGGUCUUCACAGUUCCCUCAAACCUCAAAUGAAAUGUUGUAUCUUAGAACCGACCAUGGUCUCCGGCCGGCUGGCCACCCUCUUGGCCUUCGGGUAAGACCAGAGGCGAAGCCCUAAGUGUGAGUAGCUGCUGAUGCGUGACUAUCUUUGGGUGUUUCCCUUGUCCGGCUAAUCAUCCAUCCAACAUUAAACAGCUACGAAUGGCGGUGGGAAUUUGAAGGUAUCGCGUUAGAGGGGCGGUGGUGUGCGUAUCCUUUAUUGAAUUUCAGCACCGGCGGCAUCAAAAUAUGUGACCAGAGUAUCACACUUUAUGGCCGCCAGCAAAAUCGGUAACCAUCGUGUCUUCUACAUUAUUAAUUUGGUUGGCUGUUUAUUGGUUUUUGCGGAUUCGUUUACAGAACCCUAAAUCGACCCAUCACGCUCUCAGGUUAUUGUUAUCGAUUAUGCAUUUUCUCUUUAUUGUUAAUUUGAUUGUGCGUAUUAUGUUUAAUUACUGCCAUCGUCAUUGAGGUUUAUGGAUAUGUUUUAGAUUAGGGGAUAAUGGUGUAUUUGGGGUUGUAGACUCUGAGAUAGAGCCUUUUGUAUUUGUGAACGUGUGGUUCAGAAUAGUAAUACCUUACUAUACUCAAUGGGGCCAGAGUUUGGUUGUGGGAGUUCGACUGUAUCACGGUUUAAAGUGAGUAUAGUUGUUAUGUAGUCGAUGAUCGGAAAAAUAUGUUAAGUUGGAAAUAAGAGGAAAUUGGUGGUACUAUGAUUUGAAAUUGGGAAGGUCGUUGAGUUUCAUAAUAGGGAUGAGCUCGGUACUGAACCGGUACCGGAACCGAAAGUACCGGUACCAAAAAUCCCCAAAAGUAGGUACCGGUACCGAAUAUGCCUGGUAUGGUAUGGUUUAGUACUGGUACGGUACCGGUAUUUGAGGGUAAAAACCGGUAGAUACUGGUACCAAACCGGUACAGAAAAUGUCAAAAGUCGGUACCGAAAAUGUACCCGGUUCGGUAAAUUCGGUACCGGUACGAGUAACGGGUAUCAUUUGCUCAUCCCUAUUUCAUAAUUUUUCUCCAUAUAAUUAAUGACUCUUGUAGUGGAAUGCUAUACUUGAAUGCAGAAUGAUAGUGACAGUGUUCCUUCAAAAGUGCUUUCAAGAAUGUCAUCUUUCACAAGACUCAAGAGUAGCAGUUAGGCUAUUGAGAACCCCUUGGUGCAAUUCAAAAUAAGUUGGAUACUCGGAUCAUCAUGUUAAUGUUGUUCAUUUCAGCAGAAUCGGUUGUUGUCCAGUUCAAAAUAUGUUGUCCAAAUAUGCAGAAGGAACACCAAUAAUUAGGUGUUCCUGAGCAGUAUGCAACAACUUCUUGAAGGGGAUAACUGAUAAGAACUUGAAAAUGAUGAUUCUUGUGGAUCGUAACCCAGUUUUCCAGUUCACCAUGAAAAAUGAUGUUUCUGGUGGAUCGUAGCCAUUUCACCUUAUUUAUACAGGUUCAUGCUUAUUUUUGAUUUGGACCUCUAGGUGCAUUAUUUAUGAGUUAAUUACUUAUAUAGAUUCCUUGCUGUUUAUGAAUUAACUGAAGUUAUCAUGUUUAUUUUAUCAAACCGUAAUCUUUUGUAAUUAUACUAUAGUUCCAUCUA